AGGACGAACGCUGGCGGCGUGCUUAACACAUGCAAGUCGAGCGAGGCCCUCUCUUCGGAGAGGUGCCCUAGCGGCGAACGGGUGAGUAACACGUGGGCAACCUGCCCCUAGCCACUGGGAUAAGGCCCGGGAAACCGGGUCUAAUACCGGAUAUGACCUUCAAGGGCAUCCUCGAAGGUGUAAAGGAUUCUGGCUAGGGAUGGGCCCGCGGCCUAUCAGCUUGUUGGUGGGGUAAUGGCCCACCAAGGCAACGACGGGUA
rnacentral:rRNA from 1 species